rnacentral:rRNA from 1 species
UACAGAAGCCAUAUCACCCUGCAACUCACAACUUAAAACAUGCUGAAGCUGAGCAGGUGUGAGCCUGGUCAGUAAUUGGAUGGGAGACCUCCUGGGAAAAACUAAGGUUGCUGCUAGAA